UGCAUCGGCUGGAAUCGAACCAGGCGAGCAUUCUACCACUGAACCACCGAUGC
rnacentral:tRNA from 1 species